rnacentral:rRNA from 1 species
UUUUUAAAAAAAGAACGGGGGUAAGAGUAACCGGUUACCCCAGGGACGGUAUUUAACCAGAAAGCCAGGGCUAAAUUACGUGCCAGCAGCCGCGGUAAUACGUAGGUGGCAAGCGUUAUCCGGAUUUAUUGGGCGUAAAGCGAGCGCCGGCGGUCUUUUAAGUCUAAUGUGAAAGCCUUCGGCUCAACCGAAGAAGUGCAUUGGAAACUGGGAGACUUGAGAGCACAGAAGAGGACAGUGGAACUCCAUGUGUAGCGGUGAAAUGCGUAGAUAUAUGGAAGAACACCAGUGGCGAAGGCGGCUGUCUGGUCUGCAACUGACGCUGAGGCUCGAAAGCAUGGGUAGCGAACAGGAUUAGAUACCCUGGUAGUCCAUGCCGUAAACGAUGAUUACUAAGUGUUGGAGGGUUUCCGCCCUUCAGUGCUGCAGCUAACGCAUUAAGUAAUCCGCCUGGGGAGUACGACCGCAAGGUUGAAACUCAAAAGAAUUGACGGGGGCCCGCACAAGCGGUGGAGCAUGUGGUUUAAUUCGAAGCUACGCGAAGAACCUUACCAGGUCUUGACAUCUUCUGACAGUCUAAGAGAUUAGAGGUUCCCUUCGGGGACAGAAUGACAGGUGGUGCAUGGUUGUCGUCAGCUCGUGUCGUGAGAUGUUGGGUUAAGUCCCGCAACGAGCGCAACCCUUAUUACUAGUUGCCAGCAUUAAGUUGGGCACUCUAGUGAGACUGCCGGUGACAAACCGGAGGAAGGUGGGGACGACGUCAAAUCAUCAUGCCCCUUAUGACCUGGGCUACACACGUGCUACAAUGGAUGGUACAACGAGUCGCGAGACCGCGAGGUUAAGCUAAUCUCUUAAAACCAUUCUCAGUUCGGACUGUAGGCUGCAACUCGCCUACACGAAGUCGGAAUCGCUAGUAAUCGCGGAUCAGCAUGCCGCGGUGAAUACGUUCCCGGGCCUUGUACACACCGCCCGUCACACCAUGAGAGUUUGUAACACCCAAAGCCGGUGGGGUAACCUUUAGGAGCUAGCCGUCUAAGUGACAGAGAUGGA